UUUGGAAGAGUAGUCAGUGCUCUUAACCACUGAGCCAUCUCCCCUAAAAAUCUUAAUGUUAUCUUAAUGAUAGCAACAACAUGCCCUCUGGAUUUAACUCAGUGGCCAAGCUUAGUGAUAGGGCUUAGCGCAUACCCAUCCAAGCCCCAGGUUUGACCUCCAGCACUAAAUCAAUAGUAAUUUAGCAACAGACAAGUAUUUGCUCUGCCUGGGACCCUUGUGAGGGUUUGUACAUAUGUCACUCUGUCUUGUAGCUCUGUGCAGUGAUGACUGCUACUCUAUUUAUAGACAUGCAAACAGCAACGGUCCUAAAGCAGAGCGGGAUGGCCUGCCCACGCCUGUAACUCUGACACACUCCAUCCCCUGAGUUCAGGUUUGGGAACACCCUGAAACACUUGAGAAGGGAACCAGUUUGCCAACCAGCCUUUCUUCUUAUUUAAAAUUUACUUGUUUUUACGUUAUGUGUGUGGGUGUUUUGUCUGCGUGUAUGUCUAGGCUCUGUGUGCAUCCCUGGCAUCUACGGAAGCCCAAGGAGGGUGACAGAUCCCUUGGGAAUGAAGUUACAGAGACCUGCCACGUGGCCGCUGGGAAUCAAACCUGCGUGCUCUGCCAGAGCAGCCGGUGCCCUGAACUGAGGAGCCACCCCCUCAGCCCCACUCUUGCUCUUCGGUUUUCUAAUGCCCUGAACUGACGAACCACCCCCUCAGCCCCACUCUUCAGUUGUCUAGGCAGGCCCUGUUAUCUGUGUGUAUGUUUGUCCUAGGCCUCAAAUUUGCUAUGACCCAAAACCCCAAAUAUCUUUGCCUCUACUUCCCCAGUGACAACUGUGGGGCACCUUUCAGCAUUGUUGUCUACAUGUCUUGUGUACAAGCAAACCUUUUGAGAAAUUCUGAUAAUCUCAUUCAAUCACUUUUUUCAUGCAUAGAGUAUCUGUAAUCUUAGCACUGACUGAAGCAGGAAAAUUGAAGGUCCAAACCUUCCUGAGUGACAUAGUGGGUUUAAGUCUGGUUUGGUGUUACAUUAGACACCAUAUCAAAGUGAAUUAUCUUCUAGAAUGUUAUCCUUUCUCAAGGAAGCACUGGUGCCAGUACCGGUAUAUACAGUUAGAACCCCAGAAGGAAGAAAUCUGAAACUGUCUGCCUCCGGUGUGUAGUCAUGGCCACCAUUUCCUGAAAGUCUGUCCUUUGUCUUUCCCCCUCUUGGAGUCAUGGUUUGUUCAUCUCUGUUCUUCCACAGGCAAUGUUCCAUUCAUAACUGUGACACACCUGACUGGUCACUAGCCCUGGUUUCCUGGUCCUGUCAUAUUGUCACACUCAUCGAUGAUGCCCUUCUGACCUUAAAGCUUUGGCUUGACUCAGCUCCCUCCCUGCACUGUUCUGGAAGGAACUGCCACCUCCUGCUGUUCUCUUCCCAGGUGCUGGGAAGGUAGACCCUCUACCAUGUGUACUCUGAGUCUACCCACCUCACCUGGCACACAGUAGGUAUCUAUUAUGUGGUGUGGGAUGAGCCCAGAGGCAAGAAGUGAUAAGUGCUUCCUAAACAACUCUGGCCACAUUCCAGCACUUUCUGGCCGUUGUCUCAUGCCAUCGUAGGUGAGCUGGUUCUUGGCCAUUGAAACAAUGAAGAAACAGGACGUGAUGUAUUGGUGUCUCUUAGGAGAAUAGGAUGAUCCGUGUGAUAACCAGAUCUGUCAACCCAUCCAAGAAAUUAAACCAAGAAUGUUCCACGCACAGAGAUCAGCUCUGGAGGCAUUUCCUUGUGUUUCCAGAGAGAGCCAGCUCAGCGUCCAAUUACUCUUGACAAAUUGCCCUGUGGAGUGAAGAACAGCAGACACAGAAGGGCAGGAAGAAGGGCGCAAACUCCGCUGUGGUCAGAGGUGGGCCGGGCAGCCACAGGAGAGGCAAGAAUUUCAUACAUACCAAGGGCCUUAAGUCAGAACUAGGAGAGUCCUAGCCUGCUGUGAGGGAAACAAGCUGAGGCAGGAGGUAACUCGUUUGGCCUCUGACCACCGGCCCCUAACCAUGCCAGUGGACGAAGAAUAGACCAAAAAGGGACCAUGUCUGUCCCAGUGCUGGGCAGAUCAUUUUUGCUUACCCCCUCCAGCUGUUGGACCUUGCUGUGGCUCUCCAACUCCGUAGCUCAUCAUCAAGCUUUUCCUUCGGGACUCUGGCCCCUUGCCAGUUUUACCAUCUCAAACAGACCAAGUACCCCCAGCCAGGGCCCUGAGUCCCCCUUAGGGCUGUCUGUGGGGAUGUACCUCAGUCACUAAAGAAGGGUGUCACUUCCUUGGGACCAAUCACUUGUUUUGUUUUGUUUUGUUAACUUGACCCAAGUUGGAACCUAAACUGAGAAAACGCCCCCAUCGGAUUCUCCCGUAGACCAGUCUGGGGUCAUUUCUUGGUUAGUGGCUGAUGUGAGAGGGACCAGCCCUCACUUGUGCAUGGUGCCACCCCUGGGCUGGUGGUCCUGGGGUUGUAAAGCAGGCUGAGAAUCCGAGGGGAAGCAAGCCAGUCAACAUCACCCCUCAUGACUUCUGUUCUAGUUUCUGCCUCCAGGUUCCUGCCUUGGCUUUCCCUGAUGUUGAACUUGUAACCUCUGACCCAAAUAAACCCUUUCCCGACCGAG